CAGUGAGUUACUCAUUGGUCUUAAAGCUGCAGCACCCAACAACAUCCAUUUUGAAUCUUGCUGCUGUUUUCUUCUUCCUCCGUUACCCAAAAUGCCUUUUUCCAGUAUAACUAAAGAAAUAGCCAUUGGAACCGCAGUCCUAGGGGUUGCUUUUGCUACUGGAGUCUUAGCAGGUAAAAAAUAUCCAUUUUUAGCUUUUGGAAUUCCCCGAUCAUCCAAGACUCUUCUUGGAAAAGGGAGCCCACUAUGGCAAUACAUAUUGAAUCACUCUCUUCGGGAGCAUCCAGUCCUAAAGAAGCUGCGACUGCUCACCUUGGACCAUCCCUGGAGUAGAAUGAUGGUGUCUUGUGACCAGGCCCAGCUUAUGGCAAACUUGGCCAAACUCAUCAAAGCCAAGAAAGCUAUUGAAAUAGGUGUUUUUACAGGCUAUAAUACCUUAAACAUGGCAUUAGUCUUGCCAGAUGAUGGCAAAGUCGUUGCCUGCGAUAUAAAUGAAGAUUACAUCAGUAUUGGAAAGCCACUGUGGAAAGAGGCAGGAGUGGAGCAUAAAAUAGACUUGCGGUAUAAACCAGCAAUUCAAACACUUGAUGAACUACUGGCAGAUGGUGAAGCUGGGACCUAUGACUUUGCUUUCAUAGAUGCAGAUAAACAGAGUUACAAUGAGUACUAUGAAAAAUGUUUACGUCUCGUAAGGAAAGGGGGAAUCAUAGCUAUUGCUAAUGUUUUAUGGCACGGGAAAGUGUUGAAGCCAAGCAAGAACGAUCUGGAAACCCAAAGCCUCCACCACCUCAAUGAGAAGAUCUUCCGAGAUAUACGGGUCAAUAUCAGCAUGCUCCCCAUGGGGGAUGGAGUGACACUAGCGUUCAAGCUGUAGUGGGAGAAAAAUGCUGAGCAAUGGAAGGGAGACGGAGAAGCACCAAAUCAUCAGGCAAAACUAAGGUGGAGCAUGAGGAGCAGCUGUGCUGUGAACUUGUGUCUCAGCAGAAUAGCAGAAAGCUGGGAAAACAGCCCUUGAAAUGAACAGAAAAACCACAGGAUCAGAGAACAGUGAUGCCUGCAGGAGGUUGUCUGGAGAGACUGGGGGAGAAGUGCCCUAUGUCCUUUCCCUCCUCUAGGAAUCAUUCUAGCUGUUUGAGAAUCAACAGUUAGCUGGAGCGAAGGCUGGGCACGAAUCUGCUCCCUGGUAUUCUCUAAAGGAAGACCCAUGACUCUGACAAACAUGAGCUUGGUUAGUUUCAUCAGACCAAGAACAUUUCCUAAUAUACCCAAGAUUUAUAUGGCUGCUUCCUGCAACUCCUGAAAUCAAAGCAUCCACUGCACAAGUGAGUAUCUGGAGCAUCAAAGAAAAACACCAAGUAUCACGGAGCUUGCAAUUAAAUAUGAGAGUUGGCAACAAGGUCCCAUCUGCAAUGCAGUAUCACGAGCUGUCUUCACAGUCCCCGAGAUGUUUUAGCAUACUCCAAACCAGAACCCCAGUUCUUCAAUGAGCUCUGUGUGGGCAGGGUCCCUUCACACACAGGGAUUCAAUCGCGUACAUGGAGCUUACCACAAGAUCCAGACCUUACGUUUGCAGGGUGAGGUAUCAGCUUGUGCAAACAGCAUCAAGCCCAGAACUACUGGGUUGGAUAGUGUCAUUGAGCUCCAUGGUCUCCUGCAUUAUCCAAGAAAUAAUAUGGGGUAAUGUGAAAGCCUGGGGAAAUGGGCACUGAAAGAAAACCUCCCCAGACUAAAGCUGCAGGAAGUGUUUGUUCGCUAGGGUCAUUUUUUUUCCCCUGCCACAUUAAAACUGAUGCCACUCGCUCAAGAUCUGGCUUAACUAUGUUGAAAGCAAACUAUGUUUGUUUAAAAAUAACUCAACAAGCUCACGGACCAAGGCAGUGGUGCCUGAGCAACAGCAAACUGCCACAGAAAGAAAAAAGCUGCUUCAGCAUUUUAGAAUAGUUCUGAGGGAGAGUCAAAAAGGGAAAACUGAACGGCCACCAGAUGGCACAAUUGCUCCAUACAGCCAAGCUGGAAAGCGGUGUGGGCACCUUGUAGCAACCAGCUUUACUUCUAAAAAAAGAAGGGCCAAUUCCCAAGUCUUGAAAGUGUGUCACAUUCCCAAGAGUGCACAGCCAGACCCUGCACCUGCAAUCGGCUCUCUGCAAGUGACUGCUCCUGCCCGCAUCAGAUAUGGCUACGCUACUAGGUAUGGCUAUCAGGUAUGGCUACUAAAAAUGCACAGCUGGCCUGUGGCAGCUGACUUGGGUUUGGCUAAGAAACUGUUUAAUUGCAGUGUAGAUGUCUGAGGUGAAAGGGUCCCAGCUCUAGCCCAGAAAUCUACACUGCAAUUAAACAGCCCCUUAGCCUGAAUGGGCCAGCCAUGAAUGUCUAAUUGCAGUGUAGACCUAUCAACCGUCCCAGUAUCACAAUCACAGGAGAGUGCAGCUGGGCCCAGAUCCUGCAAUCGGAUCUGUGCAAGUGCCCGCUCAUGCCCACACAGACCCCUGUCAACCUCAAUGGGGGAGGGGGCUCCCAGCCGUGGAGUAACAUGCAAGAUAGG